rnacentral:piRNA from 1 species
UGCGAGGACAAGGCUUGGAUUCCCAGGA